GCCGCUGGGGGGCCCGGUGUCGCCCAGCUGGGGUCCGGGGCGCACCCCGUUAAGGGCAGGAUUCCGCUUCUAGGAAAAAACCCGCAGCGGCGCUGACACAGGUCCAUUAUUUUAUUGCCUGUCUGUCUCCUCUGUUAGACUAUAAGCUCCAUGGAGGUAAGGAUUUUGCUUUGUUUACCGCUCCAGAGUCCCAGCAUGAAUCUGACAUACACAGAAAAGGACUGCAGUAAAUGUCUCAUUGGAGAAAGAAACAGACAGAGCUGAACUCCAUGAUAUGAAGAUGAAGUUAGCUCAGGAGGUUGUAUCUUCUUUUGAAUCAUGGACUACACAUUUGAGAAUGUAUGGAACUCAAGAGCCCCAGCAAAAUGAGUGACUGCAGGAAUAGACUUCUCUAGUCACUAUCAAAAGUGAAUCCUGACUUUGAAGACUGAUGUUUCAAACAAGAAUCUCAUGAAAUCUGUGGAUCACGUGGCCAAGAAUCUGUGCAUAGACACACAACACUGAGCUGCAAAAAACUCCAUUGUACCAGAGGCUAAGUUAAUCAAAACUAUGUGGGUGAUGAUGUUGUAUGACCUUCCUUCCUUUCUUCCUUCCUCCCUCCCUCCC